rnacentral:lncRNA from 1 species
GAACGACCUGCGCAUCCUGGAGCAGGAGGAGGAAGAGGAGCGGCAGGAGAAGGCCGAGGCCGCCAAGAAGGACGAGCCCCGGCCCCCCGACGCCGACCGCAAAGCCCCCCCCGACGACAAGGAGGAGGGCAAGAAGGUUUGGGGGUGUCCCCCUUGGGGGGGCGGGGGGGAGCUCCGGGGGGGUCCCUUCUGUCCCAUAGGUUCUGCUUGGGGGUCCCCAGAACAUCGGUUGGGGUUACUUUGGCCCCAUAGGGUCAGUUUGGGUGGUCCCCAUGGGGAGUUUUGGGGUCACCUUGGCCCCAUAGCGUCAGUUUGGGGGUCCCCAUGGGGUUCCUUCACCCUCAUAGGGUCAGUUUGGGGGUCCCCAUGGGGACUUCUGGGGUCACCUUGGCCCCAUAGGGUCAGUUUGGGGGUCCCCGUUUCCAUAGGGUCAGUUUAGGGGUCCCCAUGGGGUUCUCUCAACCCCAUAGGGUUGGUUUUGGGGUCCCCUUGGCUCUAUAGGGUCGGUUUUAGCAUGCCCUCAGCCCCAUAGGGACAAUUUGGGGGUCCCCAUGGGAUCACCUUGGCCCCAUAGGGUCAGUUUAGGGGUCCCCUCGCCCCCAUAGGGGUCAGGUUGGGGGUCUGGGGGGUCACUUUUUGAGACCCCCCCCUCUCUCCCCCCCACCCCAAAGGCGGAAGCGGAGCAGCCGGGCGACGCCAAGGCCCCGAAGGCGCCGGGGGAGGAGGAAGAGGAGGAAGGGAAGGGGAGGAAGGAGGAGGACGGCGACAAGGAGGCCAAGAAGGUAAGCCCCGCCCCCUCUGCGCCAAGCCCCGCCCCCUCUGCGCCAAGCCCCUCCUCCUUCUGCGCCAAGCCCCACCUCAUCCGCACAGAGCCACGCCCCCUUUCAAGAGGCUCCACCCCCUUGCAACACCCCUCCUCCUAGCCCCGCCCCUUGCGAUAGGCCACGCCCCCUUCCUGUUAAGCCCCACCCCCCUCCUGCGAGGCCCCUCCCAUUUUUCUUU